CCAGGGGGUUAGGGGGAGGAGCUGAAACAGGGCCCAGGGGUUAGGGGGGGUUAGGAGCUGAAACAGGGCCCAGCCAACCAGACAUUAUCAAUAUGUAGACAGAGUGUUUAACAGUCAAAAGGAUACAGUCUUACUGUCACAAGGCCAAAGACCCAGAAAGAGAUUCACCAUAGAGGGAGGAGACAUUUCUCCCUAACCACCGAUCAUCAUUUAACAGUGAAGACCCUGCUCCACAGGCCAGGUUGAUACUGUCCGUCGGUCUGGUCCGUCUGCUCUUCCUCAAGAGGAGGAAGUGGAGGACCUACGUAUUCUAUCUGGGAGGGAGGGAGAUUCCUAACCAGUGUUACAAAAGUAACACGUUACGUAAUCAGAUUACUUUUAUGAGUAACAGAGUAAAGUAACACAUUACUUUUUCAAAUUGGGUUCUAUUAUUACAGUUACUUCGACAACACAUGCGUUACUUUCAGAAUCAUCUCUCUACCAACAACCUGUCCUGUGUCUGUCUGUCUGUCCAGGUACAGAGAGCAUUAUGUCAACAACCUGUCCUGUGUCUGUCUGUCCAGGUACAGAGAGCAUUAUGUCAACAACCUGUCCUGUGUCUGUCUGUCCAGGUACAGAGAGCAUUAUGUCAACAACCUGUCCUGUGUCUGUCUGUCUGUCCAGGUACAGAGAACAUUAUGUCAACAACCUGUCCUGUGUCUGUCUGUCUGUCCAGGUACAGAGAGCAUUAUGUCAACAACCUGUCCUGUGUCUGUCUAGGUACAGAGAGCAUUAUGUCAACAACCUGUCCUGUGUCUGUCUAGGUACAGAGAGCAUUAUGUCAACAACCUGUCCUGUGUCUGUCCGUCUAGGUACAGAGAGCAUUAUGUCAUUGCAUAAAUAAGUUGUUCUCAUUAAUGCGGGGUCUUUCUUGGUAGAGUGAUAUCACCUAUGAGUUCCCUGAUCAUAGCUCGGCUUCAGAUAGUUAGAAAAGAAAAAGAAGCUGUACAAAAAUUAUUUGGCAAUGUAAAGCUUCUCAAACAGACAGACAGACGACCGUCUACCAACGCUGAGCAGGAAUUACAAUAAUAAUGAUUUGAACAGGAGUCGCCGGAGGUGUCCCAUAUGGCACACGAUUCCCUAUAUAGUGCACUACUAUAGACCAGAGCCCUAUUCCCUAUAUAGUGUACUACUAUAGACCAGAGCGCUAUUCCCUAUAUAGUGCACUACUUUAGACCAGGGCCCUACUCCCUACAUAGUGCACUACUUUAGACCAGGGCCUUAUUCCCAAUAUAGUGCACUACUUUAGACCAGGGCCCUAUUCCCUAUAUAGUGUACUACUAUAGACCAGGGCCCUAUUCCCUAUAUAGUGUACUACUAUAGACUAGAGUCAUGUUAUCUAUAUAGUGCACUACUAUAGCCCAGAGCCCUAUUCCCAAUAUAGUGCUUUCCAAUAGUCCCCCGUAGGCAGUGAGGAGUGGGUGGGGGGAUAAUAAACAAUAAGCCAACAUGUGACCUUCUUCACCCCGUAGGGAGAGAGGAGAGGGAUAGAGGGAGAAAGGACAGAUUGAUUCCUGAAACCCGUUCCUGAGCAUGGUGGUCUGACUGAGGAAGGCGGGGGGGGAGUAUACAGGCUGGAGACAGGAGGAACCAGAGCACACAACGACGAGAGUCCAGAGUCUAUCUG
ensembl:lncRNA